rnacentral:misc_RNA from 1 species
UUAAGUUCAGCGGGUAUUCCUACCUGAUCCGAGGUCAACCUUGGGUAAAUAAGGCUUUUAACGGCCGGAACCCGCAGCACGCCCUGAGCGAGAUGUAUUACUACGCUCGGAGUGACUAGCGAGCCCGCCACUGGUUUUCAGGGCCUACGCUGGACGCGUAGAGCCCCAACACCAAGCAGUGCUUGAGGGUUGAAAUGACG